UCUUCAGGACACAUGGGCGUGUGGAUGAAAGAUGAGGGAUCGGAAGCAAAAGCAAAGCUAUGCAAACUGGGAUUAUAGCCUGGAGACAAGCGUGCCAACUGGUUGGACUGGACACAGUCUGUGUGUGAAUGUGUGGACUGGAGAAAAUGCUGAGCAGGAACCUUCCCUCUACACGGUCAAAGCCGUUUUUAUCCUGGACAACGACGGCAACAGGCUUCUCUCAAAGUACUAUGACCCUGAGCUGUAUCCCUCCAUGAAGGAGCAGAAGAACUUUGAGAAGAACGUCUUCAACAAGACGCACAAAGCCGACAACGAGAUCGCGUUCCUGGAGGGGAUGACCAUCGUCUAUAAGAGCAGCAUUGAUCUCUUUUUCUAUGUGGUGGGAAGUGCUCAGGAGAAUGAGCUGAUGCUGAUGUCAGUCCUCAACUGCCUGUUUGACUCCCUCAGUCAGAUCCUCAGGAAAAACGUGGAGCGGAGGUGUUUGCUGGAGAACAUGGAGGGAGUGUUCCUGGUGGUGGAUGAAAUCAUCGAUGGAGGGGUGAUUCUGGAGAGUGACCCCCAGCAGGUCCUACAGAAGAUCAACUACAGGCUAAUGUCAGAGCAAGCCUAUGGCUUCGUCCUGUUUGAUUACAUCACCGGUAACCUAGAGGGACAGGCAGACAAGAGCCCGCGGCUGUAGACAGACAGACAGAGGGCGGAUGACAACCCAUUAUCUGAACAAACUGUGGCCCAGCACAUAACAGAGAAACUGGCACUGACCUCUAACGUGCUGCAGUCAGCGAAGGAGCAGAUCAAAUGGUCCAUACUGAAGUGACACGAACAGCAACAUGUAGAAUUCACUAGUGAACAUUAGUCCCAGAGUUAUUUUUGUAGAAACGCACUAAAAAGGGAAGAUGGUUACAGCUUUAUAGAAGAGUUAAGCAGCCCGUGAUGUUGCUUGAUGACAUUUAGUUAUGUUGUGUGUGGUGUCAUUAACUUAUUUGCUUGGGUGAUAUAGGGAUGCAGAGGCCAAAUCACACCAAGAUGUUUAGUGUGUUUCACUAAUGAAGAGCAGAGCAUCUCAACGCAGUCAGUAACAGAGAACUCAUGCCUGGUGGCAUUUUAUUCAUUGGUUUAUGUUUAUUUUGGUGAAGCAGGAUUUUUCACCAGUAUUUUUGUUUUGGUUGUUGAAAUUUGAACAGCUUUCUGUACACAAAAGCCAUUGUCCCACAAACUGUAGCACAGCGUAAUCACUAUUGUUACUAAGUCAGGAAUUCAUCCUGGAAAAUGUUACUGCUGCAUAUGUGAUUCAGUUUUGAUCUAAAUCUGCUGCAGUAACAUUGCAUAGGAGGUGUUGACUCGUCCGUCAUCUGUCACUGACUGCUUAGUUCAGGACACACGUCCUAAUGUGUUAAAUGUUAAAUGUUACUGUAACUUCCUUCUAAUGACAUAAUUCAUUUUUAUGGCACCUCAAACACUAUAAAACUCUGAAUGCAGCUUUUUGCUGGCUGCAUUGCAAUGAAGUUAUUAUCAUAUGCAUGAGUCCACAUAAGUUAUGAAAUAUUUUUAUUGGAAAGGAAAAACGUCCAAAGACAAACUAGCGAAAACAUUUAUUUUGUUUACAUAUUUAUCACAGAUUUAAACUGUUUACUGUCCACUAUUUGUGAGAUUAAUAAUAAAACUAAAUCUGCU